AAACGAUGAGGUCCGAACUCUCAGGCGAUGCCUGGCUUUGCAGGACACCUUGCUGUCAUCCAAAGGGACAACCUGGAGUGGGGACAGAAGAGAACACCAGGAAGAGUCCUCUCUUCUUCUGCACAGAAAGAGCCCAUGCAGAGGGACUGCCACAGACACGGAUGGAACAAGAGGGAGCCACGCCAUGCCACUUGCAGGAUCUUAGUUCCGGACCAGGGAUCGAACCUGCGCCCCCUGCAGUGGAAGCACAGAGCGCUAACCACUGGACCGCCAGGGAAUCCC